rnacentral:rRNA from 1 species
UACGUAGGGUGCGAGCGUUAAUCGGAAUGACUGGGCGUAAAGGGUGCGUAGGCGGUCAAGCGAGCUUGAUGUGAAAUCCCCGGGCUUAACCUGGGAAUGGCAUUGAGGACAGUUUAACUAGAGUCUGUCAGAGGGGGGUAGAAUUCCACGUGUAGCAGUGAAAUGCGUAGAGAUGUGGAGGAAUACCGAUGGCGAAGGCAGCCCCCUGGGAUGAGACUGACGCUGAGGCACGAAGGCGUGGGUAGCAAACAGG